AGUUAAUGCAUUAUCCUGUCCAUGUCAAUCAAGAUCGAUUAAAUGCAAUGUCGACCCUCCCACAGAUUGCGAAGGAGGUCUCGUCACAGAUGCUUGCGGUUGUUGCAAAGUUUGCGCAAAAGUAAGUGGUGAGAUAUGUGGAGGACUUUAUAUGCUCGGUGGAAAAUGUGGGAAGGGAUUGAUGUGUGCAUUAGACAACUACAAGAAACAGGAUUCAAAUGGAACCUGUAUAAGAUCCUCUCUUAAGAAUUUGGGUGAACCUUGUAAAACUGAAGCUAAAGUCUUGUGUAAAAAGGAAUACGAAUGCAUCUUGAUUGAUAAUAAAUUUUACUCUAUAUGCGGUAAAAGAGGACCUUGUAAAUUAU